rnacentral:pre_miRNA from 1 species
CCCUUCAACACAAGGCUGAAGGGUCAGCAAGGGUGUGUGACUCUACUAUCUGAACUGUGCGAUUUGAUUGCCUCGUAAUGAGGCGUACAUAAAGCUUUUGAUUGUAGAGUCAUGCACCUCUACUGGGCCUUCAGUCUAAUUUUUCUGC